UGUUGUUGUGAUGUUCUUAAUAUCUAGUCUUUUUUUACUUUGAUGAUCAUAAAAGUUCAAGAGAGUUUUCUUUCUUAAUUUCUUCUCAAACUCCACUCUUUGUGAUUUGCUUGUUGUUGUUGUUCUUCUUCUUCUUCACUAAAGUUUUCAAAACCUUUUUAUGUUCUUGUGGUGUUCUUUCUUGUCUUUUUCACUUUGAUUAUCAUAAAGGUUCAAGAGAGUUCAACAAUUCCUCUUCUUUAUUAUCUCUAGAUCUCAUCUUUAAUUAAACAAGUGAUGAUUUCAGCUCAAAGAAAGCUCUAUAUAUGUGUGAUCUCUCUUGAGGCCGUGACUCAUCUUAUGAGGUAUGUGAAAUCUUUUUAACAACUCUUGAUCUAUUUAACAAAACAUAUUCCCAUCUUGUAAUUUGAUUGAAUCAAACAAGUUAAUUUGGUAUUAUUGCAUAUCUUGCCCAAGAGUACUUAAUUUUGAAGAGAAAUCAAGGAACAAGUCUUACUUUAGAUAUCCUUUAAGGAAGAGAAAUCAUCAAGUUAAAUGCUUCAUUGAAAGUAAUAUUGUCUAGUUUUGUAUAUAUAACUAGUGAUUUACAAGUGAAUGUUCAAGUGUUUAAUUACUUGGUCAUUAUGAAGAUCUUGGUUUAGUGCUUGUAAUUGAGUUGGUUAACCUAAAACAAACCGAAGAGAUUACCCAUAAACAGAAACAUAUAUAUGUAUAUAAAUAUGUCAAUGAUUUGGUAUUUCCAAAGAAAAAUUGAUAAAAAGAUAUAAACCCUAGUGAUUUCGGUGAGACUAUAUUAAUUUUCACCAUUGAAUUGCAGAAAGAAAGUUGCAUUUCCAUUUGUCAAGAUAAGAAUCAAGAUAGAAACUAAUUAUGUUUGCUUUUGAAGAACUUAAUGUGAAACAAAAAACUGUGUCACAACUUCAUUGAUGAUUUUUCUUCAUUUCUUUGAAUGGAAUGCAUCCUUUUAUUUUGUAAGUACACUUCUAACCAGUAAGUACUAUCUUUGUUUUGCUACAUACUUAAUUAUUAAUGUGUCAAUAAAUUCUAGUGUUUAUAUAUAUAUAUAUGUGUGUGUGUGUGUGUGUGACUUGUUUCUUUUGUUAGAGAAGAAGUUAAUUGGUGAUUUGAAAGUUUAACUUGUUAAGAUGCUCUUGGAUAUGAAUCAAGGAAAACAAUACGAAGAAUUUUAAUUGUAGAACUUGAUAGCUAGGUGAGAGUAAAACAUGGGUUGAUGAACUUCCGAACACUUUCAUGUGUUUAGUUCAUGGAAGUGAUCAUGAAAGUGUGAAAUCGAAACAA